rnacentral:miRNA from 1 species
CUUCCAGUAGCACCUUAGAGACAAACUAAAUUUGUUAUUGCUCAUACCAACAACAAACUUACUUGGUCUCUAAGGUGCUACUGGAAG